AUUUACUAUUUUCAAUCUUUCUAUCUUCACUUGAAAAGAACAGAAAUGGAAGCAUUUCCCAGCAGGCAACGUGGAUUUUUUUCCAAUUGAGUCGAUCUUCUGUUUUUGCAGGUUUUGUGGAUAUAUGUUUAGGAAUGUCCUUCUUGUGCUGUAAGGUUGUUUCGGUUUCACAUGGCACUGUCACUAUCAGCUGUGCAGGCAUGUCGCCGUGUGUUUACAAUUUUACACAUAUUUCUUUGGGCAUUAGAUAACUCCAUGAAUUUCUUUAAUCCUCGUAUUAAUGCUAUUUUUACUUUCCUGUUCUGAUGUGAAUUGCUUUUCUUGAUUGAAAUGUUGUCUAAUAUUUUAGAAUUUUAUGAGCAAAGUCUCAUUCAUAAUGGAGCUGUUUGAACUUCUUUUUCUUGACGAUUCUCUCAAAUGGCCUCUUUAUUGGGUUUAAAGGACAGGUUUCUCCUUGCUUGUAGAUAUUUGAAGGAGGAAAGUGCCAUUCAUUUAAUCAUUCAUUCUGAAGUUGUUUAUGAAUUGUUGGACUUCAAUAUCUUGCAUAUGUUGGAUUUUAUUGUGUGCUUCUGAGAACAACAAAGGCAUUUUACAACUGUUUCCAAGCAGAAGAAGAAUAUAUGGGCUUACUUUCUCAUCUAUGUUUCUGGAUCAUGUAGAGGAGAGAAAUAAUAGGAUGUUGUUGGGGCAUUUAUUGCAGUUGCUAAGUUGAAAUCCAUCCUUUUUAAGUGUACAUGGCUUUGUGAUAAGCUAAAUGUAGAUUUCUUGACUUUGUAUGAGUUGGGAAAUAUGGUAUGCUACGGCUAAUAAUUUUGUUUUGAUUUUUUAUCAUCUUAGUAACUAGUAUGGCUUUGCGAUAAGCUAAAUGUAGAUUUCUUGACUUUGU
rnacentral:misc_RNA from 1 species